GGAGGUUCCUAGGUGGUAGCAGUGUGUAGGAGGGAGGUUCCUAGGUGGUAGCAGUGUGUAGGAGGGAGGAUCCUAGGUGGUAGCAGUGUGUAGGAGGGAGGAUCCUAGGUGGUAGCAGUGUGUAGGAGGGAGGAUCCUAGGUGGUAGCAGUGUGUAGGAGGGAGGAUCCUAGGUGGCAGCAGUGUGUAUGAGGGAGGAUCCUAGGUGGCAGCAGUGUGUAUGAGGGAGGAUCCUAGGUGGCAGCAGUGUGUAGGAGGGAGGUUCCUAGGUGGCAGCAGUGUGUAGGAGGGAGGAUCCUAGGUGGCAGCAGUGUGUAGGAGGGAGGUUCCUAGGUGGUAGCAGUGUGUAGGAGGGAGGUUCCUAGGUGGCAGCAGUGUGUAGGAGGGAGGUUCCUAGGUGGCAGCAGUGUGUAGGAGGGAGGUUCCUAGGUGGCAGCAGUGUGUAGGAGGGAGGUUCCUAGGUGGUAGCAGUGUGUAGGAGGGAGGUUCCUAGGUGGCAGCAGUGUGUAGGAGGGAGGU